rnacentral:rRNA from 1 species
AUGGCGGUGGCGACAGCUCGGUGGCUCGUCCUGUCCCUGCUCGUGUCCGCCGCGGCCGCGGCGCAUGACACGAAAUGGAAGGCCGGGGCUGCGGUGGGCGGCCAGGUCGUGGAGAAGGAGCGGCGGAGGGUGGUCGCCGAGAGCGAGGCCGGCACGGUCACGGCCACGGACGUCGCCGACGCGGCGGGCACCGUGUACCGGCUGCAGUUCAUAACCAUGGACCCCGGCGCUCUGUUCCUGCCCGUGCAGCUGCACGCCGACGCGGUGUUCUACGUGCACAGCGGGCGGGGCAAGGUGACCUACAUCCAAGAAGGGGGCAGCGAGACAAGCUCGCUUGAAGUACAGCGAGGAGACGUGUACAACUUGGAGCAGGGCAGCAUCCUGUACAUCCAGAGCUACCCCAACGCCACCAGAGAGCGCCUUCGGAUCUACGCCAUUUUCACCAGCAACGCCAUCAACUGCGACGACCCAUCGGUACCUACAGAGCGCUUCUAUCAUCCCACUUCAGAAGCAUACUCGAGCGUCAGCAAUCUACUGAGAGGAUUUGAUGUAAAGAUUCUUCGACAGGGAUUUGGGGUUUCCGGUGAAGUGGUGGAGGCAAUUCAGUCGGCGAAGAGCCCGCAGUUGAUUAUAAUGUACAAUCCAGACCAGGAGAAGAAAGAGAAGUCGAAUUGGACGGAAGAAAUCUUCGACGCGCUGUGGGGCGACGAGUCCCCACUGAACAAGAAGAAGAAGAAGGAUAAGCACAAGAAGAAGGACAAGAAGGACGACAAAUCCAAGAGCGAGACGUUCAACUUCUACUCCGGCAAGCCGGACGUCAAGAACUGCUUUGGAUGGAGCAAAACCAUGACCAACAAGGACCUGCAGAACCUCAAGGGGUCCAACAUUGGCAUGUUCAUGGUGAACCUGACCACGGGGUCUAUGAUGGGGCCUCACUGGAACCCGAAAGCCACGGAGAUCGCCAUCGUCACCCAGGGGUCAGGGAUCGUGCAGGUGGUAUGCCCGAGCACCGCGUCGGGCGCCGGAGGCGGUCACGGCCACCACGACGAGGGCGGCCGCGGGGGCGGCGAUCACGGUCACCACGAUGAGGGCGGCCGCAGGAGGGGCGAUCACGGUCACCACGACGAGGGCGGCCGCAGGGGCGGAGACCACGGGCAAGGAGGCGUAGAGUGCAAGAAUUCAGUGUUCAGAGUGAAGGAAGGCGACGUGUUCGUGGUGCCGAGGUUCCACCCGAUGGCGCAGCUGUCCUUCAACAACGGGUCGUUCGUGUUCGUCGGGUUCAGCACCCACAUGGGGGAGAACAACCCGCAGUUCCUGGCCGGGGAGCAUUCGGUGCUGCAGGUGAUCGGCAAGGAGAUAGUGGCGCUGGCGCUGGGGCAGAAGAACACGACCGCCGUGGAGCAGCUGCUGUCGGCCAAGAGCGGGUCGACCAUAAUGGCGUGCAUCUCGUGCGCGGAGGAGCUGGAGAGGAAGGCGGAGAAGGAGGAGCAGGAGGGCGGGAAGGGGGAGCGGGAGCGGGAAGAGGAGGAAGAGAGGGAGAGGAAGCAGAGAGAGGAGGAAGAGCGGAAGAAGCGGGAGGAGGAGGAAAGAGCAAGGAGAGAGGAGGAAGAGAGGGCGAGGAGGGAGGAGGAAAGGAAGAAGCGGGAGGAGGAAGAGCAGAGGAAACGAGAGGAGGAAGAGAGGAAGAGGAGGGAGCAAGAAGAGGAAGAAGAAAGGAGGAGGAGGGAGGAGGAAGAAGGUGGCGGAGGCCAAGGCGGGGGAGGAGGUGAUGAUCCAAGGGAGGAGGAAGAACGGCGGAGGGAGGAGGAAGAAGGUGGCGGAGGCCAAGGCGGAGGAGGAGACGAUCCGAGGGAGGAAGAGGAAGAGCGGCGGAGGAGAGAGGAGGAAGAGGGAGGCGGAGGCCAAGGCGGACGAGGAGACGAUCCGAGGGAAGAAGAGGAACGGAGGAGGGAGGAAGAAGGAGGCCGUGGCGGCAGAGGCGGAGAUGACCCGUGGGAAGAGGAGGAAGGCGACUGGGGAGACUCCUCCAAGUACCGCGCGGCCACGAACCUGAAGAAGCGCUACCGUGGUCGCAAGGGCGCCGUGUUCCAGAGCGCCUGA